CCCGCCGUCACACCAUGAGAGCUGGUAACACCCGAAGUCCGUGAGGUAACCGUAAGGAGCCAGCGGCCGAAGGUGGGAUUAGUGAUUGGGGUGAAGUCGUAACAAGGUAGCCGUAGGAGAACCUGCGGCUGGAUCACCUCCUUUCUAAGGAGAAUAGAAAGAAGAAAAUUCUUUCUAAAGGCUGAAUUCUCUGUUUAAUUUUGAGAGACCAUUCUCUCAAAAUUGAAACUUCUCAAUAAAAUUGGGAAGUAGCUGAUCAUCACAAAAUCGUAGAUUUUGGAUGCCUAGCUAUGUUCUUUGAAAAUUGCACAGUGAAUAAAGUAAAGCUAAAGGUAUAUAAAAAUCCUUUGUAAGAAUACAAUUUUAAGGUCAAGCUACAAAGGGCGCAUGGUGAAUGCCUUGGCACUAGGAGCCGAAGAAGGACGCGAUAAGCUGCGAUAAGCCUUGGGUAGCCGCAAAUAGGCUGAGAUCCAGGGAUUUCCGAAUGAGGAAACUCACAUGGGUAACCCCAUGUAUCAUGCACUGAAUACAUAGGUGUAUGAGGGUAAACCCGGGGAACUGAAACAUCUAAGUACCCGGAGGAAGAGAAAGAAAAAUCGAUUUCCUAAGUAGCGGCGAGCGAACGGGAAAGAGCCCAAACCAGAAACUUGUUUCUGGGGUUGUGGAUAGAUCAUAAAAGAAGAGGUAUCUUAAUCGAAGAGGGCUGGAACGCCCUACCAUAGAAGGUAAUAGUCCUGUAGGUAAAAAGAGAAAACUUCGAGAUCUAAUCCAGAGUACCACGAGACACGUGAAACCUUGUGGGAAGCAGGGAGGACCACCUCCCAAGGCUAAAUACUACCUAGUGACCGAUAGUGAAGCAGUACGGAGGGGGAAAAGGA
rnacentral:misc_RNA from 1 species